rnacentral:rRNA from 1 species
UACGUAGGUGGCAAGCGUUGUCCGGAUUUACUGGGCGUAAAGAGCGCGCAGGCGGUCGGAUAAGUCGAAUGUGAAAGCCCCCGGCUCAACUGGGGAGGGUCACGCGAUACUGAUCGACUCGAAGGCAGGAGAGGGUAGUGGAAUUCCCGGUGUAGUGGUGAAAUGCGUAGAGAUGUGGAGGAACACCAGUGGCGAGGCGCUUUCUGGUCUGUAACUGACGCUGAGGCGCGAAAGCGUGGGGAGCAAACAGG